CAUGCUAGGCGGGAAAUUAGCGAUGUCCUGUACCUGCAAUUCGCUACAGCAGGGCUGAAUUCCUUAUCUCGGUUUUAAAUUUUGCAGCCUGCCCUGGAAAAGUGGUGUUGAUAUUAGGGCCCUACGCAACGGAAACUUAUGAACCGUGUCAGAUCUUGACCGAAGCAGCACUAAGUAAGACCUUUCGUGUGCCGUAGGAUUACCUUAAUUGAGCUAACUGUUCAGGUACCGUGUAGGGUUUAAUCCCAAAAUAAGGUGCAU
rnacentral:SRP_RNA from 1 species